rnacentral:rRNA from 1 species
GGAGUUAGCCGGUGCUUCUUCUGUGAGUGAUGUCCUUCCUGCCGGCUAUUAACCCGCAGGCCUUCUUCCUCACUGAAAGUGCUUUACAACCCGAAGGCCUUCUUCACACACGCGGCAUGGCUGGAUCAGGGUUGCCCCCAUUGUCCAAUAUUCCCCACUGCUGCCUCCCGUAGGAGUCUGGGCCGUGUCUCAGUCCCAGUGUGGCUGAUCAUCCUCUCAGACCAUCUACGGAUCGUCGCCUUGGUGAGCCGUUACCUCACCAACCAGCUAAUCCGACAUAGGCUCAUCCGAUAGCGCGAGGCCCGAAGGUCCCCCGCUUUCCCCCGUAGGGCGUAUGCGGUAUUAGCCUGGGUUUCCCCAGGGUUAUCCCCCACUACCGGGGCAGAUUCCUAUGCAUUACUCACCCGUCCGCCGCUCGCCACCAGGGAGCAAGCUCCCCGUGCUGCCGCUCGACUUGCAUGUGUUAGGCCUGCCGCCAGCGUUCAAUCUGAGCCAGAAUCAAACUCUGA